rnacentral:rRNA from 1 species
GUUCGUGGACUGAUUUGUCUGGUUGAUUCCGUUAACGAGCGAGAUCUUAACCUGCUAAAUAGGUCGCCAAACUUCGGUUUCGUAGUACCUUCUUAGAGGGACUUUGCGUGUUUAACGCAAGGAAGUUUGAGGCAAUAACAGG